rnacentral:miRNA from 14 species
AGUCAGUCUAUUCUUUGAAUCUCUGAAGCCAGGCACUGACUUCUCUCUAGCUAUGAAAACCCUACAUGGUUUCUUUCAGUGGAGGGCUAUUUUGUCUACAUUGA